GUAUCCUUAGCUCAAUGGCAGAGCAUCCUAAUCCGAAGGUUCGCAGGUUCGAUUCCUGCAGGAUACG
rnacentral:tRNA from 1 species